CCUGUACAUAUAAAUUGCUGAAUUAAUUUGUAAUUGGAGGGGUUUUAUUUAUUUUUGCAAAACUGUAUUUGUUGGUGGUCACCAUGUGGGUGGGAAACACAACAAAGAUGCGACAGUGUUGGAAAGUAAUAGCCUAAAAAAGUCCUUAACCAUCUUGCUGUGCUAAAUCCCCAGAGAGAUUUAAUAGUGCAGAAUAGAAUAUUAAUAUCAGUAUAUAAAUGCAUUUGUUGGGUGCACUCUCUCUGACAACAAUAUGCUUCUGUUGUUACAGCGAAUCACCCAGUGGGAAGUUGCAUGCAUUGCAAGCAGUGUUCUUGCAGGUGCCAUUGUACCCUGAUUAUCAGGCAGUGAACCAUGUGUUGUAGUUCAUGUGCUUUGAGAAGUUGUGGAGGUCACCCCAAGUGCUGCAGCAGCAUUCAUCAGGAAGAGAACAUUUUAUUACUGCACUUAAGCAGCAAGAUCCCUUUGAAAGGUACAGGGGCGCAGCACUUCAGGUUUGCUUACAUGCAGGUAAGAAAGUAGACAGUGAUAGAGAUGGUGACUAAAGAACUCGUUGGCAAGGCAUAAUCUGGAGAAUGCUUUUCUCCUUAAUGUCAGACUUUAUAUUCACAAUUCUGAUUUCAGUGUGAGCUUUAAGAAUGUGAUUUAAAGACUGUCCUGUUCCCUCACAUCUUUGUAAAAACCAUCCUGUACAUCUUUGUUAGCUGAAGAGUUUAGGUUAAUGAGCAGAAUGUUGAACGUUGAAAUGUUAGGAAUGUAGUGUUUCAAACUGUAUUCUUGGACAAGGUAUUUCUCUGUUCUUCAGAUAGUCACUUCUGUGUGACCUUCUGAACUGUUCAGUGAUCUCUUUUUUUCAUUCACCAGCUCCUUAAAAGCUUUUCUCCUAAGAACUAAUUCAGAGUAGUUUGCCGGAAGAACAUACACACAGAUUUGGGUCUAGAUUUAGAGCCAGCAGAAGUUUUGUUAUGAUCUUCAGUUCUCUGUAGUAAUCAAAAAAACUGAUGGCCCACAAUCAAUUUAAAAGGUUUUGAUUUCU
rnacentral:lncRNA from 1 species